rnacentral:tRNA from 1 species
CUGGGUUUUAGCUCAGUGGCAGAGUGCUUGCCUGUCAUGUGAGAGGCUCUGGGUUCAAUCCCAGCACCAAGG